AGCCAGCGGUGCCUGACUCUCUAAUCUCAGGGUCCACUAGUUUGCACUUAACGAAUGUCCAACGUUACAGCGCAGUUACAUGAAAAUGACCUUUAGACAAAGUAGCAAUGUCAGUCACACAGAACUACCAAAAUGUUGUUAAAAUUAAUGCUUAACUCAGUUGACCAAUUCAUCAAAAAGCAGAAAACUAACAAUUUUGCAGAUCAUCUACAGCUGAAACAAUUUUAUUAACCAACCACUCCGUAAAUAGAAAACUGACAACUAGUCCAAUACCAAAUAUAGUCAUUUAGGGAACAAAACUAACAAUCAUUCCCAAGCUCAUACACAUCACAAUCUCCCAGUUUCUAUCAAAUUUAGCCAGUUCAAAGGUUAAAACCAGUUAUACACAUCUAAUGCAUGGUGGUAAACCAGCUUAGUGUGGUUUAAAUGAUUCUAUUUGUCAUAAUGAAGCAUGUAAAAUGUGUUUAAAUGAGCCUAUUCCUGAUGUACAACAAACUUGUUAAAUAGAGUUUAUUUCAGAACAGAAAAGGAGCAAAUUCUCACAUUUGACAAGAUACAAGAAGUAAAAACUGUCUUGUAGACAUGUGAUUUAUAAGAUAGUUUGUUUUUUUCUGUCCAGUGAAAAAUUGGUUUAACUCUCGUCCCCACAAUAAAGUUUACACAAUCUUGAAUUGACGGCAAGGUUUCCAAGGCCCACUAGUUAUUUUCAUUGGCGCAUCUAUAGGCUCAGUUCUGGAAACACUCUUAUCCAGGUAUGUAUGGGUCCCACAUCCAGCUUUUUGUGCAGUACAGGUGGCCGUUUACCUCACUCACAGAUUCACAUAUACAUAUAUAUGAUUCUCAUAAAGAGACAGGCAACAAAAUUAGUUGAGGAAACCUGCAUAAACAUGCAAAAAGGAAUGGGGUGAUAAUGCCCUCAUCCAUAUGGCACGAGUGACCACAGUCUGGUUUGAUCAGUACGAAAAUGACGUGAAUAGUAUGUUAUAGCAUUCCCAGUCACCAGAUCUCAACCCAGUUGAGCAUCUAUGAGAGAUUUUUGGGCUGACAUGUUACAAAGUGCUUUCCAACAUCAUCAACACACAAAAUAAGGGAACAUCUUUGAGAAGAAAGAUGUCCCAUCCCUUGAGUAGGGGUUCAGAGAUUUGUAGAAUCAAUGCCAAAGUGUGUCAUAUCUGUUCUGGUGGACAGCACCUCAGUAAGACACUUUGUUUUAACUUAACUUUGUCAUCUGCUUGUACCUUAUGGUAGGCUGACUGUAUUAGCAGUUGAUGUUAGCAGGUCUGUCAAUCAAUGCUAGAACAACUUUAUGUAUCUGCCAGAAGAAUAAGGACUGUGUCGUUACAUCAGGAUUUUGUUUACACCACCAUCUUUGGCAGUACAACUGGCACGGACGCACAUGACAUGUUACAUCCAGUAUCGGAAUGUGGAACAAAUAGGACAUUUUUUGUGCUUCAGAAUCUAGCCACCACUUCCAGAAGGACAUCUGCACACUUCGGGAUUCAGAAUAAGGAUAUAACGUCUCAGCUCCCUAUUAAUCUUACAGAUCACGUUCUCUUAAGUGGCUUCAGGUUAAGACAAACAUCUGAAAAUUUUAACAAUUCUUUCUGAACUGUGAUUCGCACUACCAGAUGUCUUGCACAGUACCAGAAUUCCAUUAUGGAAUACAUCCACUUGCAAAUAUUUCCUUUCCACCUUCCUGUGAUGCGCAGAAUAGGUGGAGUUGCUCAUUUGAUCUGUGUUCCAGGUCUUUUGAGGAGCAAUUAAAUGACAAAUCUGGAUUGCCCAGUUGCUGACGUGCAAAUGACAGCUGAGCAUUCAGUACACAUGACAAUAAUACCUGGAAUUAACCUUUUUUAUGAUAGAGCACUGUUGUGUUACUUUGAAAACAGCUGGAGAAAUGCCACGGACAUUCACGUCUCUGGAUCCUUAACCUUUUGGACAGAGAUGCCUGGGAAUAGUUUAUGGACUCAUGAGGUACCUGUACAGAUGUGUUUACAUUCGCAGGAGAACAAAGGUCCUAGUGUUUAGGAUCCUGGUGCUUCCUGUCUUACUGUAGGGUCUUACAGUAAGAUUUUGUUAUUAACAGUUACUUAAGGAAGCUCAGCUAACCCCUCACCCCUAGUGACUACAGGUAUGACAAGCGGAAUGCCUCUGAUUGACUAAUUGUCAUCACGUAACAGUCUAAUUCAUUAGGCCGUGGCUACAGGUAUGGACCCGUAUCUACAGAGACCGUUCUAAAGAUGCAGAGGGUGUCUUACCGACCAAUCAGAAUACGCAAAUAUGUCCAUACCUGUACCAUUUGCGGCUAAAGGUCCAGCAAGGCUUCAAAACUCAUCCGUACAUUGUCCAUAUCUUCAGUGAUCACUGUUCUAAAGCUACGGAGGGUCUCUUACUGACCAAUCAGAAUGCGCAAAUAUAGCCGUACCCGUACCAUAUACUGCUAAAGGUCCGGCAAGGCUUCAAAACUCAUCCAUACAUUGUCCGUAUCUUCAGUGAACCUCGGUCGGUACCUUUAGCAGUCCCGCAGAAGAUACGGAUGUACGUACCCUUAGCCACUUCAAAUUCAUUAACCCUAACACUGCUACCUUGAUUCACCGGACUGGAAAUUCUUCCCCCGUAUUUGCAAAUGGUUCUUGCCCAUCUCAACUUCUUGCAUCAUGCCUGUAGAAUUCACGUUUAGGGAUACGCCUUCCAUACCUGUAGACACUUUGCAAAAUUUGUACAUAUGAAAAGCUAUAACCAGUAGAGCCCUACCGAUAUCUCAGUUGCCCGAUAUCAUCUAAAAUUAGCUUUUCGGAAACAUAUCGAUAUGUGCGUUACUUCUGUCAAUAUGGAAGCUUACUUGUUUUAACCAAAUAAUGCAGGAAAAAAAAACAAAAAAACACUGGCUGUUGGAAAUGGUGUCAUUACGUAGUUUGUGUUGUAGAUGGCAUGGGAAGCAUGGCUGGGACCACAUCA